UGAGAGAAUUCUACCUGCGCUGGUGACC
rnacentral:piRNA from 1 species